CAAUAGCGUAUAUUAAAGUUGUUGCAGUUAAAAGCUCGUAGUUGGAUUUCUGGCUAGGUGAAGCGUUCCCCAAGUUGGGUGCGAUGCGGCGCCUUGCCAUCCUUCUGUUAACCUGGGAAGCCUUAACGGCGGCCCACGGGGCUCAGAUAUUUUACCUUGAGAAAAUUAGAGUGUUUCAGGCAGGCUAGCGCCGGAAUACAUUAGCAUGGAAUAAUAGAAUAGGACUUCUGCCUCUUCUGUUGGUCUGAGGGGUUCAAGUAAUGAUUAAUAGGGAUAGUUGGGGGCAUUAGUACUUAACUGUCAGAGGUGAAAUUCUCGGAUUUGUUAAAGACUAACUUAUGCGAAAGCAUUUGCCAAGGAUGUUUUCAUUAAUCAAGAACGAAAGUUAGGGGAUCAAAGACGAUCAGAUACCGU
rnacentral:rRNA from 1 species